rnacentral:rRNA from 1 species
GACGAACGCUGACGGCGUGCCUAAUACAUGCAAGUCGAACGCAGUGGGGACGGGUGAGUAACACGUGGGUAACCUCCCAUCAGAGGGGAUAACACUAGGAAACAGGUGCUAAACCGAUACUGAGGGUAGGCGCCGAGGUGCAUUAGCUAGUUGGUGGGGUAACGGCUAACCAAGGCCACGAUGCAUAGCCGACCUGAGAGGGUGAUCGGGCCAACUGUGACUGAGACACGGCACAGACUCCUACGGGAGGAAGCAGUAGGGAAUCUGCGGCAAUGGACGAAAGUCUGACCGAGCAACGCCGCGUGAGUGAAGAAGGUUUUCGGAUCGUAAAACUCUGUUGUUAGAGAAGCGGUAUCUAACCAGAAAGCCACGGCUAACUACGUGCCAGCAGCCGCGGUAAUUC